rnacentral:rRNA from 1 species
UCGGGAAUAUUGCGCAAUGGAGGAAACUCUGACGCAGUGACGCCGCGUAUAGGAAGAAGGUUUUCGGAUUGUAAACUAUUGUCGUUAGGGAAGAAAAAUGGACAGUACCUAAGGAGGAAGCUCCGGCUAACUACGUGCCAGCAGCCGCGGUAAUACGUAGGGAGCGAGCGUUAUCCGGAUUUAUUGGGUGUAAAGGGUGCGUAGACGGGUAAACAAGUUGGUUGUGAAAUCCCUCGGCUUAACUGAGGAACUGCAACCAAAACUGUAUAUCUUGAGUACAGGAGAGGUAAGUGGAAUUCCCUAGUGUAGCGGUGAAAUGCGUAGAUAUUAGGAGGAACACCAGUGGCGAAGGCGACUUACUGGACUGAAACUGACGUUGAGGCACGAAAGUGUGGGGAGCAAACAGGAUUAGAUACC